GACGAACCGUGCGAACGUUGUUCGGAAUCACUGGGCUUAAAGGGCGCGUAGGCGGGCUGUCAAGUCUGGGGUGAAAUGCUGCGGCUCAACCGUAGAACUGCCUUAGAUACUGACGGCCUCGAGGAAGGUAGGGGCAUGCGGAACUGUAGGUGGAGCGGUGAAAUGCGUUGAUAUCUACAGGAACUCCGGUGGCAAAAGCGGCGUGCUGGACCUUUUCUGACGCUGAAGCGCGAAAGCUAGGGGAGCAAACGGG
rnacentral:rRNA from 1 species